rnacentral:rRNA from 1 species
UACGGAGGGUGCGAGCGUUGUCCGGAAUCACUGGGCGUAAAGGGCGCGUAGGCGGCCUGAUAAGUAGGGGGUGAAAUCCUGCGGCUUAACCGCAGGGCUGCCUUCUAAACUGUCGGGCUAGAGCACGGUAGAGGCAGAUGGAAUUCCUGGUGUAGCGGUGAAAUGCGCAGAUAUCAGGAGGAACACCGAUGGCGAAGGCAGGUCUCUGGGCCACUACUGACGCUGAGAAGCGAAAGCGUGGGGAGCGAACAGG